AACGAACGCUGGCGGCGUGACUAACACAUGCAAGUCGAACGGGGAAAGUAGCAAUACGAGUACUAGUGGCGCACGGGUGAGGAAUACAUGGGUAAUCUGCCCUCGAGCUCGGGAUAACCAGUCGAAAGACUGGCUAAUACCGGAUAUGACCACAAGAUCUGAGGAUCAAGGGGUAAAAGGUUUUUCGCUCGAGGAUGAGCCCAUGUGGGAUUAGCUAGUUGGUGUAGGUAACGGCUCACCAAGGCGACGAUCCCUAACUGGUCUUAGAGGAUGAUCAGUCACACUGGAACUGAGACACGGUCCAGACUCCUACGGGAGGCAGCAGUAGGGAAUAUUGCACAAUGGAGGAAACUCUGAUGCAGCGACGCCGCGUGAGUGAUGAAGGCCUUCGGGUCGUAAAGCUCUGUCGUAUGGGACUAACAAAAUGAAGGUACCAUGCAAGAAAGGAUCGGCUAACUUCGUGCCAGCAGCCGCGGUAAU
rnacentral:rRNA from 1 species